rnacentral:lncRNA from 1 species
CACAGAAAUUUUCAAGACUGGACGUUAAGUAGUUUCUCAUUUAAAAAAUAAAGUAAGACAGGAAGUCUGCGACGUCGCAAACCGAGAUACGUGGUUUGGUAGUUUCACCGUCGAUAUCUUUCUUCCUCUCAAAAGUUUGAACAAGUGAAUUGUUCUUAAAAUCGUUAAUUUACACGUAUCCUUUCAGUUCCAAAGCAGUAUGUGUACAUACAUAUUACUUCCAACUGAUUGAAAUUGCAGGAUAUUUGGACUGAGUUAAGCAGAAAGGAACCAACCCACAUUUUGGAAAAAAUUGAGUUAUGAGUGGUAUUGAACUCAACCACUGCUCUACUAUCUAUCGCCAAAAAUUCAAAGUUUUUGUUGGAGCAAAUUUUGCAGAAAUUGAACUUGAAGUUUAAUUUUUACAUUGAGUCUUAUGCAGGAGCCAAACUUUAAACCUCGUUUUCUCGGUUCGAUCCCGAUGUGGCUUGGUUCCUUUCUGUUUAACUCCGUCCAUUUACUUACCUAAAAUCUAUUGCAUUAACCAGAUUAUUUUUAUUUUUUUUUUUGUAUUUUUGCAGAAUCAUCGUUGGACACGAAUACACCACAAGUUCGUUAUCAUCGAAGAAAAAAUACGAUCGCCCGUUACCAAUGAUCAAAUUUCCAUGUGAAACCGCUCGCGUGCACAGAAUGACGGCAAAGCAUCGUCCAUCAUUAUCCCACAGCAAAAUACACUCUUCAACUCUUCUCACUCUUGUUCACUUCGGAAAAGAGAACCGUCGCUCUUACAAUACUGACUGUUGAUUCUCGGUACCACCUACUUUUCUAAUCGUAGUAUAAUGUUACUUUUUUGGUAAAAAAUAGUUCAGUCCACGUAACAACACUUCAUUGUCACCUGGACCAAAAUUGAUUCUUACCAAGAAUCAGUGGCGUGGCGUGAACUGCGAUGUAUCGAUUGUUAUGUCAUUUAAACCUAUGGUGAAGAAUUGAUUAUUAAGGUGUUCGCUGCGAACACCGUGUUUAUCGAUCCUUUUCCAUAUGUUUAAAUGGCAUAACAAUCGAUAUAUCGCAAAGCACGCCACGCCACUGCCAAGAAUAUCAAAAUGUAACUACGACUGAAAAAGUAGAUUGGACCUGUUUCUCCGAGACCGUCGGAACAGCUUGUGAGACAGGGUGGAACUUCAACACGUGCCAAAGCGACAACAACGGUGGCUGCCACAGAAGUCUGAGCAGAGUCAAGAAUGGAUAUACUGCUCAUCGUCCACUCUCGAUGCUGAGCGUUGUCGCUGCAAGCAGGAAGCAAGCCAUUUUGCAAACAGCACACGGAUGGCACUUGGCACAUCCUUCAGAUACGGCGAACCUCAUGAUAGCGCUAUCUAAGUACCCUGUUCGGCGCAAUUGAGAGACAAUCACGAAUUCUGGAGUCCACGACAACUAGGAAACGGACCUUGAAAAGCCUCUCGACUCGGAAACAAACCGACGAAUCAGCGAGGCGCGGGCGCGCGGGACGGCGCUAUGAAUACCCGCUAAAUCAAAUUUAAAUUACGACCACAAAUUUAGAAUCUCCUGUACUGGUGUGUCUGUUUCUACAAACAAGCAACUGGAAGGUGACCGCACUGCUUCGCUAUAAAAUUAACCCCUCCGCAAGGUUGCAAUUUCCGAAGACUUUACGACAUUUUUGUGGAAAUCGUAAAUUAUAAUUUGAAAAUUGGCGGCACUGCUUUCCUUAAAUUUGUUUCCUCGUGACAUGCUACUUUAGCGGUCUUAUUGUGUUAAAUGUUCAUCAUUAUAAUUACGUCGUCUAGAGAGAACAACUUGAUUAGACGAAAAAGAUUUUUCAUAUUUUUUCUUCUUUUUUUUCUUUUUUUGUGGUAACCGGUGAAAUGAAAGGGGCUGUUUCAUUAUUAUCAGGUACACUGUGAGCUACUUUAUUUGUUUGGCUAACAGUGACUGUUACCGGUGUGUAGACAUUUGUUUAGGCCAUCGCCCCUCUUUCUCUUCUAUGACCAUUUAAGAGCAUUGUUGAAGUUUUGGAAUGAGAAGAAGCUUCUUAUUAUUCUAUUUUUUUUCUUUUUUUCUGUAAGGCACGAGUUUUGCCAUUUUGGAAAUCCUAAUUUCUGACUUUAAAAAACUGAGAUCCAUGACUUGCAAUGCAAUAACAAUUCCUUCCGAGCUUUGCCCCGAAGAGUUCCGAAUAUAUAUCAUCAAUGUCUGAAUGGUAUCUUCUUUUCGCACGUUAGAGGGAAGAUACAUUCAACUGACCUUAAAGUUACUCAGUUUUUUCUUUCGCCAGUAUCACUCUCAUCAGUUUUUUCUGUUAGUCGACUAAUUAUUAAUAUAGUUCGUUCUAAAAUUACCUUUUAUUCUUAUUUUUUUUCUUUUCGAUGAGUAUGCUCAGUGAUCAGAGUGCAAUUUUUAUGCAGCGCGGGUAUGUAAUCUUUCCGCAUACCAUGACCAUGCGUAACUGGUCCGGACCUUAUUUCCUUUUUGUACGUUGCCUUGCCAAAGGCAUGCAGAAGCCUUCAAUUAUAAUUCACCGGUGCAGUCGCAGUAAUUUGGAGGAAUUAGACUGUGAUGUAGCGUAGGUAUGUUUCUCAUAAGAGAGGGAACUUACCGAAUAGUAAUAAACUUGUUGCCAAAUUUCCACGGAGGUGGAUGAUACAGUGGAGGAAAUUGGAUGCGAAUGAAAAACAAAAUAAACUUUUUAUCUCGGUCGGGUGAUUUUAAAAUUUUCGCUUUUAAUGUUCUGUUUUUUUUUUCAAAGAGAAAAGUUAUUAAAACAAAUUAAAAACGGUUUGUGAAACAAUCCAAAAUUUCUCGCUCUUACCCAAGACCAACUCUUGUAGUGGAGUAUCUUAUUUCUAUUUUGUCAUUACCCUCACAUGUAUGCAUGUUAACUAAAGUCAAUCGAACUUUUUGGAAAAAAAGUCCUGAUUCCUUUAUUUACUUAUUUCUUUACUGUUAAGUUUUGACAAACCGACAUAAGUUUUGAUCAUUUGGAUCAAAUAGCCAAUGUGACGUUAUGCCUCUGCAUUACAUAUUGUAUUAUCUCAUUAAGGAGGGAAAAACUCAUUUCGAGUAUAAUAUCCCUUUCGAAGUUAUGCUGUUCGACGCAACACUGGUUACGUCCAAUCAGAAAGCUACCGUACCGAUAUCUAUUGACUGGUGCGUGUUUCUAUCGCGUCAUUGACCAACCGAGUUUUUGGUAUCAAUCUCGACAAUCUGAAGCAAACACAGUCAAAGGAGAAUAUUUCACAGGUAGUCAAUGCAUUAAGUUCAUUAACAGCGGUGAUAGAAAGUCAAAAAUACCGAUUUAAACUCUAACUUUUCAUAAAUUAAGCUCUAUUUUAUGGAUAUAUCAAUGCUUUAAACUGCAAAACAUUUAUCGCGGCUUUACAGCGUCUCAGAUGUUAAACAGUGUCGCUUGAAAUUUUUUGAGAAAACCCAUUUUUGAAUCAAUCAAGUUUUUCCUAUGCUCAUACUUGCGAAUUUGCUGAAUUCCCUCAGCCACUCUGAAAAAAUUAUUUUUAUAAGCAAGCAUUAAUUGAGUCAAAAAGAAGCAAAAUACGAGUAUAAUAUCCAUUAUCAAAUGACUAUUCGUGUCAUAGUUCCGUUAUUCUGGAUAGCUUUUCCCUAUAUUCAGUAAAAUAUGCUAUGAGAAUGAUAAAAACCAAGGACGAAGAACGUAAUCAACUGAGG